rnacentral:RNase_P_RNA from 1 species
GGAGUCGGCCGGACAGUCGCUGCGAUGCCUGCAUCGUGGAGGAAAGUCCGGGCUCCGCAGGGCAGGGUGCCAGGUAACGCCUGGGCGGCGCGAGCCGACGGAAAGUGCCACAGAAAACAGACCGCCGAUGGCCGGGGCGCAAGCUCCGGAUCAGGCAAGGGUGAAAAGGUGCGGUAAGAGCGCACCGCGCGGAUGGCAACAUGCCGCGGCACGGUAAACCCCACCCGGAGCAAGGCCAAAUAGGGGUGCAUUGGUGUGGCCCGCACCGCACCCGGGUAGGCUGCACGAGGCGCGCGGUGACGCGCGUCCCAGAUGAAUGACUGUCCCCGACAGAACCCGGCUUACAGGCCGGCUCCCCCG